rnacentral:rRNA from 1 species
GACGAACGCUGGCGGCGUGCUUAACACAUGCAAGUCGUACGGUAAGGCCCUUUCGGGGGUACACGAGUGGCGAACGGGUGAGUAACACGUGAGUAACCUGCCCACAACUUUGGGAUAACGCUAGGAAACUGGUGCUAAUACUGGAUAUGUGCUCCUGCUGCAUGGUGGGGGUUGGAAAGCUCCGGCGGUUGUGGAUGGACUCGCGGCCUAUCAGCUUGUUGGUGGGGUAGUGGCCUACCAAGGCGGCGACGGGUAGCCGGCCUGAGAGGGUGACCGGCCACAUUGGGACUGAGAUACGGCCCAGACUCCUACGGGAGGCAGCAGUGGGGAAUAUUGCACAAUGGGCGCAAGCCUGAUGCAGCAACGCCGCGUGCGGGAUGACGGCCUUCGGGUUGUAAACCGCUUUCAGCAGGGACGAAGCUUUUUGUGACGGUACCUGCAGAAGAAGCACCGGCUAUCUACGUG